rnacentral:rRNA from 1 species
AGAACGAACGCUGGCGGCAUGCCUAAUACAUGCAAGUCGAACGAGAUCUUCGGGUCUAGUGGCGCACGGGUGCGUAACGCGUGGGAAUCUACCCUUGGGUUCGGAAUAACAGUUGGAAACGACUGCUAAUACCGGAUGAUGACGAAAGUCCAAAGAUUUAUCGCCCAGGGAUGAGCCCGCGUAGGAUUAGCUAGUUGGUGAGGUAAAGGCUCACCAAGGCUACGAUCCUUAGCUGGUCUGAGAGGAUGAUCAGCCACACUGGGACUGAGACACGGCCCAGACUCCUACGGAGCAGCAGUAGG